UUAGAGUUUGAUGCCUGGCUCAGAACGUACGCUGGCGGCACGCCUAACACAUGCAAGUCGAACGAAGUAGCAAUACUUAGUGGCAGACGGGUGAGUAACAUGUAGGUAUCUGCCCUUUGGCCUGGAAUAACACGAGGAAACUUGUGCUAAUACCGGAUAAGUCUUUACGGAGAAAGCUUUAUGCACCAUUGGAUGAGCCUGCACUUGAUUAGUUUGUUGGUGGGGUAAUGGCCUACCAAGACUGUGAUCAAUAGCUGAUUUGAGAGGAUGAUCAGCCACAUUGGGACUGAGACACGGCCCAAACUCCUACGGGAGGCAGCAGUGAGGAAUCUUGCACAAUGGAGGAAACUCUGAUGCAGCGAUGCCGCGUGAGUGAAGAAGGCCUUUGGGUUGUAAAGCUCUUUCGUCGGGGAAGAAAAUGACUGUACCCGAAUAAGAAGGUCCGGCUAACUUCGUGCCAGCAGCCGCGGUAAUACGAAGGGACCUAGCGUAGUUCGGAAUUACUGGGCUUAAAGAGUUCGUAGGUGGUUGAAAUAGUUGGUGGUGAAAUCCCAGAGCUUAACUCUGGAACUGCCAUCAAAACUUUUCAGCUAGAGUAUGAUAGAGGAAAGCAGAAUUUCUAGUGUAGAGGUGAAAUUCGUAGAUAUUAGAAAGAAUACCAAUUGCGAAGGCAGCUUUCUGGAUCAUUACUGACACUGAGGAACGAAAGCAUGGGUAGCGAAGAGGAUUAGAUACCCUCGUAGUCCAUGCCGUAAACGAUGUGUGUUAGACGUUGGAAAUUUAUUUUCAGUGUCGCAGGGAAACCGAUAAACACACCGCCUGGGGAGUACGACCGCAAGGUUAAAACUCAAAUGAAUUGACGGGGACCCGCACAAGUAGUGGAGCAUGUGGUUUAAUUCGAAGAUACGCGCAGAACCUUACCAACACUUGACAUGUUCGUCGCGACUCUAAGAGAUUAGAGUUUUCGGUUCGGCCGGACGAAACACAGGUGCUGCAUGGCUGUCGUCAGCUCGUGUCGUGAGAUGUUGGGUUAAGUCCCGCAACGAGCGCAACCCUCACUUUUAGUUGCCAUCAUUAAGUUGGGCACUCUGAAAGAACUGCCAGUGAUAAGCUGGAGGAAGGUGGGGAUGACGUCAAGUCCUCAUGGCCCUUACGUGUUGGGCUACACACGUGCUACAAUGGUAUCUACAACAGGAAGCAAGACUGCGAAGUUAAGCAAAUCCCUAAAAGAUACCUCAGUUCGGAUUGCACUCUGCAACUCGAGUGCAUGAAGCUGGAAUUACUAGUAAUCGUGGAUCAGCGUGCCACGGUGAAUGCGUUCCCGGGUCUUGCACACACCGCCCGUCA
rnacentral:rRNA from 1 species